CUUCAUUUCUUCGUGUAUGGACCAUUGAGCUGCAGUGAGGUUCUCAUCCUGGUGAUCUUGCACAGUGGGUUGGUCACGCUGAGUAUCUCCCAAGGUGCCACAACAUCUCUACCGUUCUUUGCUCUAGGGUGAGCUGCUUCAAUUUGCGACGGUCCGGCGCCCUUCAAUCCAGGGCGAGGGGCAGGGGUCCCCUUCGGAAUUGAAG
rnacentral:rRNA from 1 species